GACGAACGCUGGCGGCGUGCUUAACACAUGCAAGUCGAGCGGUAGGGCCCUUUCGGGGGUACACGAGCGGCGAACGGGUGAGUAACACGUGGGUGACCUGCCCUCAGCUCUGGGAUAAGCCUGGGAAACUGGGUCUAAUACUGGAUAUGACUCCACGGUGCAUGUCGUGGGGUGGAAAGCCUUGUGCGGCUGAGGAUGGGCCCGCGGCCUAUCAGCUUGUUGGUGGGGUGANGGCCUACCAAGGCGACGACGGGUAGCCGGCCUGAGAGGGCGACCGGCCACACUGGGACUGAGACACGGCCCAGACUCCUACGGGAGGCAGCAGUGGGGAAUCUUGCGCAAUGGGCGAAAGCCUGACGCAGCGACGCCGCGUGAGGGAUGACGGCCUCGG
rnacentral:rRNA from 1 species